GACGAACGCUGGCGGCGUGCUUAACACAUGCAAGUCGAACGGUAAGGCCCUUCGGGGUACACGAGUGGCGAACGGGUGAGUAACACGUGGGUGAUCUGCCCUGCACUUCGGGAUAAGCCUGGGAAACUGGGUCUAAUACCGGAUAGGACCACUGCCUGCAUGGGUGGUGGUGGAAAGCUUUUGCGGUGUGGGAUGGGCCCGCGGCCUAUCAGCUUGUUGGUGGGGUGAUGGCCUACCAAGGCGACGACGGGUAGCCGGCCUGAGAGGGCGACCGGCCACACUGGGACUGAGAUACGGCCCAGACUCCUACGGGAGGCAGCAGUGGGGAAGAUUGCACAAUGGGCGCAAGCCUGAUGCAGCGACGCCGCGUGAGGGAUGACGGCCUUCGGGUUGUAAACCUCUUUCAGCACCGACGAAGCGCAAGUGACGGUAGGUGCAGAAGAAGGACCGGCCAACUACGUGCCAGCAGCCGCGGUAA
rnacentral:rRNA from 1 species